AUUGAACGCUGGCGGCAGGCCUAACACAUGCAAGUCGAGCGGCAGCGGGAAAGUAGCUUGCUACUUUUGCCGGCGAGCGGCGGACGGGUGAGUAAUGCCUGGGAAAUUGCCCAGUCGAGGGGGAUAACAGUUGGAAACGACUGCUAAUACCGCAUACGCCCUACGGGGGAAAGCAGGGGACCUCCGGGCCUUGCGCGCUUGGAUAUGCCAAGGUGGGAUUAGCUAGUUGGUGAGGUAAUGGCUCACCAAGGCGACGAUCCCUAGCUGGUCUGAGAGGAUGAUCAGCCACACUGGAACUGAGACACGGUCCAGACUCCUACGGGAGGCAGCAGUGGGGAAUAUUGCACAAUGGGGGAAACCCUGAUGCAGCCAUGCCGCGUGUGUGAAGAAGGCCUUCGGGUUGUAAAGCACUUUCAGCGAGGAGGAAAGGUUGAUGCCUAAUACGUAUCAACUGUGACGUUACUCGCAGAAGAAGCACCGGCUAACUCCGUGCCAGCAGCCGCGGUAA
rnacentral:rRNA from 1 species